UACGGAGGGUGCAAGCGUUAAUCGGAAUUACUGGGCGUAAAGCGCACGCAGGCGGUUGAUUAAGUCAGAUGUGAAAUCCCCGGGCUUAACCUGGGAACUGCAUUUGAAACUGGUCAGCUUGAGUCUCGUAGAGGGGGGUAGAAUUCCAGGUGUAGCGGUGAAAUGCGUAGAGAUCUGGAGGAAUACCGGUGGCGAAGGCGGCCCCCUGGACGAAGACUGACGCUCAGGUGCGAAAGCGUGGGGAGCAAACAGG
rnacentral:rRNA from 1 species